rnacentral:rRNA from 1 species
GAUGAACGCUGGCGGCGUGCCUAAUACAUGCAAGUCGAGCGAACGGACGAGAAGCUUGCUUCUCUGAUGUUAGCGGCGGACGGGUGAGUAACACGUGGAUAACCUACCUAUAAGACUGGGAUAACUUCGGGAAACCGUAGCUAAUACCGGAUAAUAUUUUGAACCGCAUGGUUCAAAAGUGAAAGACGGUCUAGCUGUCACUUAUAGAUGGAUCCGCGCUGCAUUAGCUAGUUGGUAAGGUAACGGCUUACCAAGGCAACGAUGCAUAGCCGACCUGAGAGGGUGAUCGGCCACACUGGAACUGAGACACGGUCCAGACUCCUACGGGAGGCAGCAGUAGGGAAUCUUCCGCAAUGGGCGAAAGCCUGACGGAGCAACGCCGCGUGAGUGAUGAAGGUCUUCGGAUCGUAAAACUCUGUUAUUAGGGAAGAACAUAUGUGUAAGUAACUGUGCACAUCUUGACGGUACCUAAGCAGAAAACCACGGCUAACUACGU